AAUAGAGCCAGUAUAUAUGUGGACAAUAUACUAUGUUUAUAGAGAACUUACCAUCAUAUCUGAGAGAUACGAAAGACUACCUCAAAUGCCUGUCAGAGCUCAAAGUACCCCAGAAUGCAAUCAUCCCUGAACAUCAGAGACACACGUUCUUUGUCUUAACUCUCCUGCGAUUCAUCUUAACUUAUAUAACUUCUUUCUCUUCCACAAUCAAGUCUACCACCAGCUGCAGGGCAUUGUGAUGGGGACAUCUUGUGCCCAGUCCUAUUUUCAGAGGCUCCCAAGUCAUUUCUGGACCAUGUGUUUCUGUGGAAGACAUCCUCGUAGUCUGGGGAGAUCUUUACUCACUUCAUCAAACAUCUGAACACAAAUGAUCUCAACUUGAAACUCACCAUGGAAAAAGGGGCCCCCUACCUUAAUUUCUUGGAAUGUACAUUAACUAUAUCUGAGAAGU